rnacentral:rRNA from 1 species
GUCAGCCGCCGCGGUAAUACCGGCGGCUCGAGUGGUGGCCACUUUAUUGGGCUUAAAGCGUUCGUAGCUGGGUUAUUAAGUCCCUUGGGAAAUCCGACAGCUUAACUGUCGGGCGUCUAAGAGAUACUGGUAAUCUUGGAACCGGGAGAGGUGAGGGGGUACUUCGGGGGUAGGAGUGAAAUCCUGUAAUCCUCGAGGGACCACCUGUGGCGAAGGCGCCUCACCAGAACGGCUUCGACAGUGAGGGGCGAAAGCUGGGGGAGCAAACCGGAUUAGAUACCCGGGUAGUCCCAGCCGUAAACGAUGUGCGUUAGGUGUAUCGGUGACCACGAGUCACCGAGGUGCCGAAGGGAAACCGUGAAACGUACCGCCUGGGAAGUACGGUCGCAAGGCUGAAACUUAAAGGAAUUGGCGGGGGAGCACCACAACAGGUGGAGCCUGCGGUUUUAAAAUUGGACUCAACGCCGGAAAUCUCACCGGAUAAGACAGCAGAAUGAUUGCCGGGCUGAAGACUCUGCAUGACUAGCUGAGAAGUGGUGCAUGG